rnacentral:lncRNA from 1 species
CAUUAAUUUCAAAGAUCACCCGUGACAGCUUUGCUGCUGGUAGAAUCACAGCAACUACUUUGAAAGCACCCUCGGCCAACUCCAGUGGCUUGAAGCCCACCGAAGUUGGGUGCUGGCUCGCCUUCAGGAUUCAGGGCUGCAGGAAGUGCUCUCCACCUGCAGGGAUAUUUCAGAAGCCUCAGCAAGUGGAAUCUUGGAGCUCUUCUUCCUGCAUGCUUCGAGAUUAAGGUUGUCCUCAAACAUCGCAGGCUGUGGCUCUCGUUAACCUUCUGGAAGCGGGGGAUUCCAAGUACCUAGACUCUGAGUUUACAUGGCCUCAAGGGUUUUCAAGAAAUGAUUUCAGGACAAGCUCUGUGAGUAUGAUUGCAUCAUCCAGAAAUGUACCCAAAUACUGAUUUAGUAUUGUUUUUCCUUUGGUCUGAAUUUCAAAACUCGAAUUUCCUGCUUUACUUCACUUCACUUCAGGGGAAAUCCCAGACAUUUAAAACAUCAGCUCUUCAGUUAAAAUACCACGUAACCCAUUCUCUCCCAAUCCUCAUCUAUGUCUCCAGCCCUGAGGUUU